CCCUUAGAUGUCCUGGGCCGCACGCGUGCUACACUGACACUUACACCGAGUUUUUCCAAUGCCGAAAGGCCAUUGGUAAUCAGCAAUAAGUGUCGUGAUGGGGAUAGAUCUUUGGAAUUAUUGAUCUUGAACGAGGAAUGCCUAGUAAUCGUAGGUCAUCAGCCUGCGAUGAUUACGUCCCUGCCCUUUGUACACACCGCCCGUCGCUGCCCGGAACUGAGCCAUUUCGAGAAAAAUGGGGACAGACUGCUUGUGGGUGCGCAAGCACUUCUUGCAGAUUGAAACCAUCUUGAUCGGUAUGGCUUGAACCGGGCAAAAGUCGUAACA
rnacentral:rRNA from 1 species